rnacentral:rRNA from 1 species
CACACUGCCCGUCACACCACGAAAGUUGAUUCCUCCAGAAGCCGGUACACUAAUCCGUUUCGGCGGAAGGGAACUGUCCAAGGAGGGAUCGAUGAUUGGGGUG